AGUCAGAACAGCACCAUAAAUAAAUGAAAAAAACUCUUUAUUACUUGAGAGCCAAAUAACUUCUACCAAAUCGAUAACAUCAGUGAACUGAUAGAUUAUCGAAUCACUAUGAGUUCGAUCUUGAUUGCAGUUAUCAGCCUGAAAUUACUCGCAAUUACUUCGGGUUCCAACGAUAUAGUGAGAGAAAAUUUACACGAUCUUGAAACUUUCUUCUGGGCAUCUACUAUUUACAACAUACCGAACAACUUCACGACGAUUGGCCGACUGUGUGCCGAGUACAGUCGCUUCUACUGCUUCGUCACUUACAAAACAGACCCUGCUGCACCCCAGAACCAAGUGUUUUUAGCUCAAAGCGAAGGCGUAAUUGACCCAUUCGUGAGACAUACUACCCGCAUUUUAGCUCAACUGGCUGAGAUGGAAUGCAAAAGCGUAAUGGAAGAAAUUUAUUUACAGCACAAUAUGUUCCCAGUCUAUUUACAACAAGGAAGCGAAUAUGACGAAUGUUGCGAUGUCCAAUGUAAAUUUAUUUUUAUGACAACCGCCGGCAUGAAUUCAUUAUUGCCGCCGAGGCUUUUUUUCUCGGUGAUAACCGAUUACGGAAACGAAGACAAAAAGUUGUCGUAUAUUGACGCUUUUUACAGUUCCGAAUGUGAUUUGAAUAUUAUCACAGCGGUCGGUUUUGGCCACGGUAAUCUCAACCGAGAAGCUCGUUGGUCUUUUGGAGCUUCGAAACCGGGGGUCGCUUACUUGUUUGUUUUUCAAGACGAAGAUCUGCAAAAUAGAAUGUUCACGUACCAAAGGAUCGAUGAACUCUUGACUUUUACUUGGUUUAAAAACAAUGUCAUCUGCAGAGCCCAACCUUGGGUAUGCGAAUAGUUUGAAGAUGAAUUCAGCCAGAAAACAAUGUUACUAACUAAAAUUAUAUUGAUCAAAAUGUUCUUUCUUGAACUGAAACUGUUCCCGAA